rnacentral:snRNA from 1 species
GAAAGUGAAGGUGAUUUGACUGUGACGUCUGUUACCCCAUGGAUUGCCAGGGUUGAUUUAACUGAUCUGGCUAACUAGGAGGGUGUCCUCGUCCUCCCUCAAUGCUAUACAUACAUCCCUCUCAAAGCUAUGCUCUCAGUCAGAGGACCUUCCCAGAUAGAGGAGGACUGGUCUUUGCUCAAAGGUAUACAAGUAGCUGUGCUCCCUUCAUAGAAUCUCCAAACGAGUGCUCAAGCACUCUGAUGGACAAAUCUCUCUUGGAAAACUUAGAGCAGGAGGAUGAGCCCUGUAGUGCUGAAGAGAAUCAGUGAUGGAUGGAGAAGCAGAGUUUACACAC